AUUGAACGCUGGCGGCAGGCCUAACACAUGCAAGUCGAACGAGUGGCGGACGGGUGAGUAAUGGCUGGGAAACUGCCCGAUGGAGGGGGAUAACUAAUGGAAACGGUAGCUAAUAACGCAUACCAUCGGAAGUGCCCAGAUGGGAUUAGCUAGUAGGUGGGGUAACGGCUCACCAAGGCGACGAUCCCUAGCUGGUCUGAGAGGAUGACCAGCCACCCUGGCACUGUGACACGGUCCAGACUCCUACGUGCGGCCGCAGUGGGGACGCUUGCACACUGGGACCAAGCCUGCGGCUGCCAUGCCGCGUGUAUGAAGAAGGCCUUCGGGUUGUAAAGUACUUUCAGCGAGGAGGCGUUACUCGCAGAAGAAGCGCCGGCUAACUCCGUGCCAGCUGCCGCGGUAAUUC
rnacentral:rRNA from 1 species